rfam:Drosophila ficusphila Contig5836, whole genome shotgun sequence
AUUAGGGGAGGAAAAGAAACUAACUAGGAUUUUCUUAGUAGCGGCGAGCGAAAAGAAAUCAGUUCAGCACUAAGUCACUUUGUCUAUAUGGCAAAUGUGAGAUGCAGUGUAUGGAGCGUCAAUAUUCUAGUAUGAGAAAUUAACGAUUUAAGUCCUUCUUAAAUGAGGCCAUUUACCCAUAGAGGGUGCCAGGCCCGUAUAACGUUAAUGAUUACUAGAUGAUGUUUCCAAAGAGUCGUGUUGCUUGAUAGUGCAGCACUAAGUGGGUGGUAAACUCCAUCUAAAACUAAAUAUAACCAUGAGACCGAUAGUAAACAAGUACCGUGAGGGAAAGUUGAAAAGAACUCUGAAUAGAGAGUUAAAUAGUACGUGAAACUGCUUAGAGGUUAAGCCCGAUGAACCUGAAUAUCCAUUAUGGAAAAUUCAUCAUUAAAAUUGUAAUAUUGAAACAAAAUUAUGAUAAUAGUGUGCAUUUUUUCCAUAUAAGGACAUUGUAAUCUAUUAGCAUACAAAAUUUAUCAUAAAAUAUGGCUUAUAGUUUAUUUAAAUUAAAAUGCUUGCUGUUGUAGUGGGGCGGACUUCCUUCUGGACAAGAAUUAAGCACUCGAAACGGAAUUUGGCUUGCGUCGCGAAAGAAUACGAAACACGGUGGUUUAACUUGUAAAUAUGCACUUUAUUGGCGUAGGUUAGUUUGUACACUGAUUGGAUGUAACUCCAGGAGAGGGCGGCAGAGCGGUGUGGAGACAUUUAGCAGACCAAGAGAGCGAGAUGAGAGAUCAUCUGGAGAGAACUGCUCUCUGGUCUGUUAAUUGUUACACUGCCAUAAAGAAGUGUCCCGUCUUGGCGUGGACACUUGCGUUUUAACACAAAAUAAAUGUCAUUAAUUUGAUAAAGUGCUGAUAGAUUUAUAUGAUUACAGUGCGUUAAUUUUUCGGAAUUAUAUAAUGGCAUAAUUAUCAAUGAUUUUUGUGUUUAUUAUAUGCACUUGUAUGAUUAACAAUGCGAAAGAUUCAGGAUACCUUCGGGACCCGUCUUGAAACACGGACCAAGGAGUCUAACAUAUGUGCAAGUUAUUGGGAUAUAAACCUAAUAGCGUAAUUAACUUGACUAAUAAUGGGAUUAGUUUUUAACUAUUUAUAGUUAAUUAACACAAUCCCGGGGCGUUCUAUAUAGUUAUGUAUAAUGAUAUUUAUAUUAUUUAUGCCUCUAACUGGAACGUAGCUUGAGCAUAUAUGCUGUGACCCGAAAGAUGGUGAACUAUACUUGAUCAGGUUGAAGUCAGGGGAAACCCUGAUGGAAGACGAAACAGUUCUGACGUGCAAAUCGAUUGUCAGAAUUGAGUAUAGGGGCGAAAGACCAAUCGAACCAUCUAGUAGCUGGUUCCUUCCGAAGUUUCCCUCAGGAUAGCUGGUGCAUUUUAAUAAUCUUAUCUGUUAGAGCGAAUGAUUAGAGGCCUUAGGGUCGAAACGAUCUUAACCUAUUCUCAAACUUUAAAUGGGUAAGAACCUUAACUUUCUUGAUAUGAAGUUUAAGGUUAUGAUAUAAUGUGCCCAGUGGGCCACUUUUGGUAAGCAGAACUGGCGCUGUGGGAUGAACCAAACGUAAUGUUACGGUGCCCAAAUUAACAACUCAUGCAGAUACCAUGAAAGGCGUUGGUUGCUUAAAACAGCAGGACGGUGAUCAUGGAAGUCGAAAUCCGCUAAGGAGUGUGUAACAACUCACCUGCUUAAGCAACUAGCCCUUAAAAUGGAUGGCGCUUAAGUUGUAUACCUAUACAUUACCGCUAAAGUAGAUGAUUUAUAUUACUUGUAAUAUAAAUUUUGAAACUUUAGUGAGUAGGAAGGUACAAUGGUAUGCGUAGAAGUGUUUGGCGUAAGCCUGCAUGGAGCUGCCAUUGGUACAGAUCUUGGUGGUAGUAGCAAAUAAUCGAAUGAGACCUUGGAGGACUGAAGUGGAGAAGGGUUUCGUGUGAACAGUGGUUGAUCACGAGUUAGUCGGUCCUAAGUUCAAGGCGAAAGCCGAAAAUUUUCAAGUAAAAACUAAUGACUAAAUAAAUAUAUAUACAAGCCAAAAAUAAUAUACUUGAAUAAUUUUGAACGAAAGGGAAUACGGUUCCAAUUCCGUAACCUGUUGAGUAUCCGUUUGUUAUUAAAUAUGGGCCUCGUGCUCAUCCUGACAACAGGAACGACCAUAAAGAAGCCGUCGAGAGAUAUCGGAAGAGUUUUCUUUUCUGUUUUAUAGCCGUACUACCAUGGAAGUCUUUCGCAGAGAGAUAUGGUAGAUGGGCUAGAAGAGCAUGACAUAUACUGUUGUGUCGAUAUUUUCUCCUCGGGACCUUGAAAAAUUUAUGGUGGGGACACGCAAAACUUCUCAACAGGCCGUACCAAUAUCCGCAGCUGGUCUCCAAGGUGAAGAGUCUCUAGUCGAUAGAAUAAUGUAGGUAAGGGAAGUCGGCAAAUUAGAUCCGUAACUUCGGGAUAAGGAUUGGCUCUGAAGAUUGAGAUAGUCGGGCUUGAUUGGGAAACAAUAACAUGGUUUAUGUGCUCGUUCUGGGUAAAUAGAGUGUCUAUCAUUUAUGGUGGUUACUUGUUCCCCGGAUAGUUUAGUUACGUAGCCAAUUGUGGAACUUUCUUGCUAAAAUUUUUAAGAAUACUAAUUGGCUCAAACCGAUUAGUUCUUAUUAAUUAUAACGAUUAUCAAUUAACAAUCAAUUCAGAACUGGCACGGACUUGGGGAAUCCGACUGUCUAAUUAAAACAAAGCAUUGUGAUGGCCCUAGCGGGUGUUGACACAAUGUGAUUUCUGCCCAGUGCUCUGAAUGUCAAAGUGAAGAAAUUCAAGUAAGCGCGGGUCAACGGCGGGAGUAAAAAAAAAAAAUAGCCAAAUGCCUCGUCAUCUAAUUAGUGACGCGCAUGAAUGGAUUAACGACGGACGUGUUUUUCGACGCUCUCCAGUAAUACGCGAAUAACUUUUGACUCAGUGCGAAUCAAUUGCUAAUUUUUAGCUUAAAAUUCGCGGAUUAACCAAGCGAUCACAAUCGUGUAGUUUUCCGGUCGGAAAAGUGCGGUUUUCCACGCGAAAACACGGUUUGCAAGUUUGUAAACAACAGCACGUGCUGGUAGUUUUCCGCUGCAGCUUUGUGUGUGUGGGUGAGUAAAGCUCAGCUUUAAGCUCCCCCCUACUUUUAAAAGCGGCCGCAAGAUGGCGCCACCACUCCCUAUGGAGAAAGGUAGGCUCUCCGAGAGCGAGCUUUCGGAGAGUAGUCGGGCCAGUAGUGCCGCGAGUACGACGAGGCGUCGCGGAAAGAGAUGCAAGGCGACGACGAGCGCGGUGCCGAGGUCGACGCAGGCAAAGCUGUUGGCGCUUGACGUCAACGAGCGUCUGCCGGCGCCGGUAGGUGUGCUUGAGGAGAAUCCCUUCUCCUCCCUGGAGGAGGCGUUGGCCUCAGCCUCUCCCGCUGCCGCUGGCGUCGCUGCCGCUGGCGCCCCUGCUGCUGCUCCCGCUGCUGCCCCCACUGCUGCCCCCGCUGCUGCCCUCGCUGCUGCCAGGAAUGCUGGUGGAGCCGCAGCUGCCCCCCCUGUCCCCGUCUCCCCUCCCGUCGUCGCGUCCGUCUCUGAUACGGUGGCCAGGCUGGCCAAGAUCAAGGAUGAGUUCCUGGACGAAGUUGUUGCGUCGAAUCUGUCGACCAAGCAGGCCUGCGCCAUGAUGCGGUGCCUGAAUAGGUAUGAGGGCCUGGUGAUUGCGCUAUCGGCGCGGAAUGCAGCCUUGGAGGCUCUCCGCGACCAGUAGCGAAUGCCGCCGCCGCCGCCCCCGAAGUCCGUCAAGGCGCAGGCUGUGGUCCCCAUGCCACCUGCUGGGUAUGCAGCCGCAUAUCCCAGCCUGCCAGCGCCUCUAGCUGCUCCGGUGCCUGCCCCGCGAAAGCCACGCGAGACGUGGUCC